rnacentral:rRNA from 1 species
UCUCUGCGCGGAAAAUUUAACGGGGCUAAGAUACAAACCGAAGCUUAGGCUGCACUUUUAGUGCGGGGUAGGGGAGCGUUGUGUAAGCGGAGAAACAGUAGCGGAAGCGGCUGUGGAGUUUACAGAAGUGAGAAUGCCGGAAUGAGUAGCGCGAAUGAUGUGAGAAUCAUCAUGGCCGGAAACCUCAGGUUUUUGGAGGAAGGUUCGUCCGCUCCAAGUUAGGCGGGAGCUAAGGUGAGGCCGAAAGGCGUAGCCGAUGCACAGACGGUAGAGAUUCCGUCCCCACCGAAAGAUUUAAGCGCAGGGACACUUUUAGAAGGUCGGAGCCAGGUGUUGGUUCUGGUAGAGAUCGAGGGAAAUUUAGUACCGAAGUCCGGCUGGAUAAGAGGCGAGAAAAGCUGCGUGUAUAUCUAAGGUGCCCGUACCGCAAACCGACACAGGUAGGUAGGAAGAAGAUUCUAAGGCCAACGGGAGAAGGGUUGUUAAGGAACUCGGCAAGUUGACCCCGUAACUUCGGAAUAAGGGGUGCUCAUGAAAGUGAGCCGCAGAGAAUAGGCCCAGGCAACUGUUUACCAAAAACACAGGUUUGUGCUAAAUCGAAAGAUGACGUAUACGAGCUGACGCCUGCCCGGUGCUGGAAGGUUAAAAGGAGAUGUGCAAGCAUUGAAUUGAAGCCCCAGUGAACGGCGGCCGUAACUAUAACGGUCCUAAGGUAGCGAAAUUCCUUGUCAGGUAAGUUCUGACCCGCAUGAAAGGCGUAAUGAUCUGGGCACUGUCUCAACAGCCCGCCCGGCGAAAUUGUAGUACCGGUGAAGAUGCCGGUUACCCGCGACAAGACGGAAAGACCCCAUGGAGCUUUACUGUAGCCUGAUAUUGGGUUUCGGUGUUGCAUGCACAGGAUAGAUGGGACGCUGGGAAAGAAGCGCUUUGGCGUUUCUGGAGCGGACGUUGGGAUACCAUCCUUGCGACAUUGGAAUUCUAACCUGCGCCUCUGAAUCGAGGCGGGGGACAUUGUCAGGUGGGCAGUUUGACUGGGGCGGUCGCCUCCUAAAAAGUAGCGGAGGCGUUCAAAGGUUCGUUCGAUCUGGACGGAAACCAGAUGAAUGAGUGCAAACGCAUAAACGAGCCUGACUGCGAGACUGACGGGUCGAGCAGAGACGAAAGUCGGAGUUAGUGAUCCGGUGGUAUGUGAGUGGAAAUGCCAUCGCUCAACGGAUAAAAGUUACCCUGGGGAUAACAGGCUGAUCUCCCCCAAGAGUCCACAUCGACGGGGAGGUU